GUCACGUGCCGUGUGGCCAGUGUGCGACGCGUGCAUGGGUGCGUGCGAAGAAUCCACCACGAACCUUUUGACGCCUGUGAAUGAGUAACCUUGAGUUUUUCCGAAAGCAACUGGUCUCGGGCAGUUGCGUAACAACUACAGUGCAGUGGAAAGAGGGUGCGAGAGUAGUGUCCAGUGACUGCAGAGUCAAGCUUCAGCGCUGAGCGCGGGUUUUGUUUAGACGAGGACAUCCAGGAAAUGUCGCCGACCGCAUCUUAUCAAGACCGAUACAUGUGACCGACGGCGAAGUACAGCGUUCGGCGAGCAUGGGGCGACGGCCCUUCUCGUAAUUGGACUUCAAAUCGACAUGCGACAGGGCUGAGGAGCGCACUCUGUUCAGCCACCAUGACAACUGGCGCCACCUGGGAUGAGCCAGAGAGGAGGAAUCCACAGAGGGUGCACGGUGGUGCGUAGAUGUUUGCCCGGCUGCCCCAGCGGCGCUUGCACUUGGCACUAGUGUGCCUCGGCGCAGUCGUGAUCCUGUUUCUGACGCAAGAGGUCGUGCGCCGCUACCACGAGUACCAGAAGUUCUACCGCUUCCAAGAUUAUGCCUUGCGGGUUGAAGGCUUGAGGAAAGAGAUGUCAAUGCUCGAGGCAAGCGCCGGGCAGCUGGAAAACCGGACGGCCAGUGUAAAGCUUGAUUUGCUCAUCGGCCGCAAGCGGCCCCGCUACAAGGACACCUCGAGACUGGCCAUCCACUAGCAGCCACGGCUCGAAGUGAUGCGGGUGAAACGGCAUUCAGUGUGCACAUGGUAGCACAAAGAGCGUGGAACAAGAGGCAUGACACAAGUGACAAGUUCAACAUGCACAACAUGUUAAUGUUGUGUCUGCUGCUCGAUCAUCCUGUGCCAUGAUGCUAAUCCCUGGAGCAUCAACGACGAGCUGUGAACAUUCUGAUAUGUAGGAUUUGCCAAGCCUGUGGUCUGGCAUUGCUUAUUGUUUUUCUAGGCAUUUGUUUGCCAUCGUGGACUUAGCUUUAAAAAUGCAAUUCUACUGCCAAGAAGUUGGACAAAUGUGCAGUGUAGAAUGUCAGCACCAGGUCUCUGAGAAUUUCUAAGUCAAACUUUAACAAAUAUUGCCCAUGCUUUUGUUUCGUUUGUAAUGUUAAAUCUGUGUUUGAUUAAUCACCGUUUACUUGUCAUUUACAUGAGCUCCUAGUUGUCUCAGAGGCGUGCUCAACCAUUCCACAAGGAGCAGUGCUUAGCUAACCAUCACUUCACAAACAGCAGGUCAAGCCUGUAAAGCGGCUACAUUGCAACGCUAGUUUCUCGAUUGCACAAGCCAUUGGUGUGCUUGCUACUUCUGCUUCUUGUGCGAUAGUGAAAGGUUAUGAAAAUCAAGUUUGUGAACAAUUUACCAGUUUUCAAGGUGCCUGUGUUUGAUGCAGGCGCACAUGACCACUCUUAGCCAUGCCAGAACAAAUGAACAUCGCUGCAAGAUGAUGCGUGUUCCUGUGCCAACUUCAGGGACGUCAAUGCCUUACACGAAACGUAGAUCAAACUGAUUACAUGUAGUAGCGAACAUGUAGUAAGAACUUCAGCCAAUGUCUGGUAUAUUGUGGCUUUCCUGCAAUGUAGGUGUUGAAAACGUGUGAAAUUAAACCGAGGGCCCUUUGGCUGCCACACUGAGGUCAGUUUCAGGUUUACUGAACAUGGUUGACGUCUGUUAUGUGUGAGGUGUUUAAGAUAAGAAUACAGUGGACUUGCGAUAAUUCAAACUGGGAAUAUUCAAAGUUCUGGUUGUUUUAUGCAAAUCGAAAAAUUAUGGCUAUGUCCUUGGUGAGUUGUAUGGCUUAGUGACACUUUUUGGAUUCAUAGUGCAGUGCAGCUUUGCCAGAAAAGGCAGGUAAGAGAGCAUUUAUGAGGCACGAAUGGUCAAAACGAACCUGCAUUUGAUGGCUGCUGUGUGUGGUUGCAGAACUACAAGUAUGGUGGGCUGAAAAAAAAAAAAAGCAGUUCUGUACUUGUACAACUUGAGUAUCGCAGACUGUUUGCAGGUACAAAUGUGUUUAUGGUCACCACUACAAGAUGGCGCCACUGAGAUGUCUUUUGGACAGCAUCUUUGACAGUUAACACUAAUAAUUCAGAACAAAAAUUGAUAGUCCUAGGAACUUGAAUUCUGCAAGUUGUGUCGUAUCUUUUUGUUCAAUGUCAAUGACAACGAGCGUCUGUUCUCUCCUUGCCGAUGUUGCACAAGCGGGUCUUGUGCACUCUUCUCACGACUGGCAUGUUGUCGAAUAUCUGCACAGUUGCGUGACUUUGGCUCAUUUUCUUUUUGUAAUACAACCAGCGUGGCAUUAUCCCUCUACAAGAGCCGUGUUGUCGCUCGCAAUCUGCCCUGUAUAGUUGGUCUACGUGCUACUUAGAAUACUAGCGAAUUAAGGUUCACCAUAUUCACAACCUGCAUCAGGUGAUGGUAUGCUGAUUGAUGUGGCAGUUGUGUACGUUGUGUAUGUUGAAUGUGCUAUCAUAGUUUAUCCCAGCAAGUUGUAUGUGGCAUCUUUUCCGCGGUUUGAAACAUUCCGUCACUGAUGUUAAGAGCUUGUUGUUUACCAUCAGUUCUGCUAGACUGCUGAGCAGUUGAAAGAAGAGUUGGAGAUUAGCAAUUCAUUCUGAAGGCAGGAUUCAUAUUAUGCAAUGCAGCUAGCUUGUAGAGUCGGGGUUGACAAUUAAUAGGGAUUUUCUUUGUUACCUUUUCCGUUGAUUAGGUAGCCGAGAUUAAAUAUCCAUGUUGUGGGAAGAUCUUCUGUUCUGUAAAUAAGUUGUUAAUUGUGAAUUGCCCAGUGUUUCUGGAAGAAUCCCAAAUUUAGUGCGAACAAAUUAACUUUUGUUUGUGGUUCACAUUCAGUAACACUGUUGUAGAUGUUUUCGUACUGUCAUUUAUGGCUUCUAUAUACUAUCGCAAGACAUGAAUAGGGAUUGAAACCUUUUUAGCGCUGUAUAAUGUUCCAGUGUUGUCAGUGUUAUGACAGAUAGUUGAUCUUUUUGCAAUAGAAAGACGUAAAAAUGAAAGAACUGAGUGUAAAGAUUUGUUGCGGCUAUGCUCUACAAAUGGUACACUGUUGUUCCAGUUCACAAUAUUGUCACAGAAGUUACGUGCAAUAGCUUACUUGUAAAUGUUUGAAAGAUGGGACUUAGUGCAAUGCACUGGUGCAAAGUUGUGUCAGAGCCCUUGAAUUGUUUUGUUUGUUUUUUUGUCGGGGGAGGGGGGGGGGCGUCACCAUUCCUUAAAAAAGUAAGUGUGCAGAUGUAUGUGGAUUCAGCUCAGUAAGGUAUUUGUAAAUUAAUCUUAUGGAAUAUGCAAAACAAGUAGCAUGCUCCAUUGACAACCACAAAUGCUGGCACAAUUAUUUAGGUCCAAAACUCCCUAAACAGUUCAAUGCCAGUGUUUCAGUUGAUCUGUCAUUCGUACUCACUGUUGCGUAAGCAUCAGGUCUUGAGCAUUCGUCAAAUCUUUUAGAAAUAUGUCAGUUAAAGGCAUGUCAUGGUGGUUGUAUCUUCUCUUGUAGCUGACAAAACCUCUUGCAAUUUGCUUCUAAAGGUGUCAUGAAGAUUGUGCAUGCCAUUGACCCUAACAGAUUGGCAUAUAUAGUUGACGAACACUGGCCUUUGAAUUCAAAACCACAGUAUAACUCACAAAAAAAGGAUAGUUAUGCUUUCUCUUGGGACUGAUAACUGAUAAGCCAUGAUGACUGAUAAUUCAUAAGCCAAAAGCUUCACCAUUGAAUUGAGAGCACUGAGUUGCAUAGCUUUCAUUGAAGUUUCGUGAGCAGUUAGACAUAUCGAAGGACUUCAGUUGUAUUAAAUGUCAUAAUAACUGUUGAUCAAAUGGUUUGAAACCAACUUUCAAUGCUUGUGUCUUGUGGUAGCAUCCAGGAAUCUUAAGAAAACAACGCAAAGUACCACUUUGUUGCUGUGUGCAAUUCAGGCUGAAAUAGUAGAGUUCAGGCAAAGAAUUCAUCAGUUCAGGCUAAGAUUGGAGAUCAUCGAUAAACCACAUCUUAUACCAUGGGUCUGACUACUAGCUUACCACUGUGGUGGUUAGUAAAUUUGAAUGGACACUUUUCAUCAAUUUCAGGUUGAAACUUGACCUCUCACUUUAUGCACGAGGCUGUGUGCACCGAGAUGGAACAGCUAAUUAUUACUUGACCACUCUUAGCAACCCAAGUUUGCAACGGUCUGCAGAGUAACUUUUCUAUCACUUUAUAUGGUCUUAUGGAUCACACUUUUUUUCUUCAUUGUAGCAUAAAUAAAUGUUCGAUUAUAGUGGCCCGUGUACUAAUUAGGUCUUUUUAUCGAGAGUAGAUGUUAGUGUACUGCCACGCUGGAAUGAAUUGCUAACAUGACACAACGAACAAGGAGGUGAAGUUCACGUUCCACAUUUGCCACUGUGUAUGAUACUGGGAAGGUUCAUUUACAGAGGCUUAGUUUUGAGCCCAGAGCAUUCUUAGCACCCGGUACACCAGAAUCACACAUCUUGCAAGUAAUCAAGCAAAAGAGGCAUUCCUUUUCGCUUCUUUUUUUUUUGCAUUUCAUUCGACGUGGUAGUACAUUUGUUCAAAUUCCUCACAGCUUCAUCCAGGAAAGUUAGUGUUGAAAGCAUCUUGGUUGAAAGUUGCACGUUGGCGAGACAGCUUGGAAAUUGUUAAAAUGUGCAGUUCUUGGCACGAAAUAUUAAAGAGUUUAUCGUGAAGGGACGCCCUGACCUUGCGAUGUCAGCCGAUCCAGCCUUUCAGCCCAUAGGCACUGGUAUUUGUGCUCUGAAAUCGCAUACCUGCCGAAAAAAGAAAACUGGCACUGGUGGAUGGUAGAGCAAUGAAGCGAGCUUCCAAAUGUGAAGCGUUUGCAGUCGGGUACGAUAGGUGUCGACCUGCUGUGAUAAUUAAUAGAGACCACGCCAUGCAACCUCUUGAUGCACCGUUGUUUAUCCAGCAAAGUAUGCGCUCCACGAAAGACCACCUACAGGGUCAUAGCAGUGCUGGCAUUUUUAAAUUUACUUGCUCACCUGAUAAUAUUCAUAUUGCAAAAAUAUGUUGUAGUUCGAAUAUUUCGUACAAGCCUAAACUAAUCAAGCACUUAAUGUCAGUAACACUAACGAGGCACUUUUCAGGUUUGCACUUAAUACUUCCUAAUGUUUUCUUCUAGAUGUUAAUGGACAUGUGUACACGUGAAGUUGUAAAAAAAAUGCCAUACCUUGCUUGAACAUGUCACAAGAAGCAAUUUUCUUGCAAACAUUUUACUUAAGCCAGUAAAAGCCACCACUACCAUUGCUUUAGAUAGAUUUUAUACAUUGCCUCCAUAAUGAGGCAGUUGUCGCCGCUAGCCAAACUUUAUGCAGAGGGUUGUUUGUGCUUCCAUGUGCUGAAAUACUUGCGCACAAUGUCACAAUCCAUAUUACGGUAUUUGCAUGUGUCUUCUCAACAUGCAGUGCAUUUCAGCAUAAAAUCUACCAGCACUUACAUUGGGGCCAAACAGUGUGGGCUUGCAUGUGCUUGUGCUCACAGGAUGUCAUUUCUUUCCCCACCCUGACUUGCAGUGCAUAACCUGCAUGAAAAAAAAUUUGUGUGCCACUGACGCAAACAUGCUAAAGCAUGUUUUUGGUGUCCAAAAUCUUUCUGCAUUUCACAUUUUUUAGAAAACCCCCUGGCGAAAUUCUUCUCUGCUGUUGUACGAUGUCGGCUGUCCACCGCUGCUUCAUUACUCGUAAAGCGUUGUGUACGUUCGUCUGUUGCGUGUGCUUCGAGGUUGCUAUUUUUGUAGAGUUGAAAGAAGGCGCACACCGCUUCGUGAAGGAAGCCUUGUUUAGAAGAUGUAUACAUGCACAGGUUGCACUGAAAGGUUGUGGAAAUAAAGCCAGUUAUUUCUA